ensembl:snoRNA
UAGCCAGACAAUUGGUCUGCUUGUCUGAAUGUGUUUCUGCAGAAGUGUAGAGAAGGCUGGCAAUAGUGAUGCCAUGUUUCGAGCCGUUAGUAUAGCUUAGGUUGUUUAGGUCCCUGCAAAUGGCUACAAUG